rnacentral:snRNA from 1 species
GUGCUCGCACAAACACUAAAAUUGGAACGAUACAGAGAAGAUUAGUGUGGCCCCUGCACAAGGAUGACACACAAAUUCGUGAAGCAUUCCAUAUUUUU